rnacentral:rRNA from 1 species
GAUGAACGCUGGCGGCGUGCCUAAUACAUGCAAGUCGAGCGAACGGACGAGAAGCUUGCUUUUCUGAUGUUAGCGGCGGACGGGUGAGUAACACGUGGAUAACCUACCUAUAAGACUGGGAUAACUUCGGGAAACCGGAGCUAAUACCGGAUAAUAUUUUGAACCGCAUGGUUCAUAAGUGAAAGACGGUCUUGCUGUCACUUAUAGAUGGAUCCGCGCUGCAUUAGCUAGUUGGUAAGGUAACGGCUUACCAAGGCAACGAUGCAUAGCCGACCUGAGAGGGCGAUCGGCCACACUGGAACUGAGACACGGUCCAGACUCCUACGGGAGGCAGCAGUAGGGAAUCUUCCGCAAUGGGCGAAAGCCUGACGGAGCAACGCCGCGUGAGUGAUGAAGGUCUUCGGAUCGUAAAACUCUGUUAUUAGGGAAGAACAUAUGUGUAAGUAACUGUGCACAUCUUGACGGUACCUAAUCAGAAAGCCACGGCUAACUACGUG